GUGGGGAAUCUUGCACAAUGGGGGCAACCCUGAUGCAGCGACGCCGCGUGAGCGAUGAAGCCCUUCGGGGUGUAAAGCUCUUUCGGCAGGGAAGAUAAUGACGGUACCUGCAGAAUCAGCUGCGGCUAACUACGUGCCAGCAGCCGCGGUAAUACGUAGGCAGCGAGCGUUGUUCGGAGUUACUGGGCGUAAAGGGUGUGUAGGCGGUGCUCUAAGUGUGGUGUGAAAUCUCCCGGCUCAACUGGGAGGGUGCGCUACGGACUGGAGUGCUCGAGUGCGGGAUGGGAGAGUGGAAUUCCUGGUGUAGCGGUGAAAUGCGUAGAUAUCAGGAGGAACACCGGUGGUGUAGACGGCUCUCUGGACCGCAACUGACGCUGAGACACGAAAGCGUGGGUAGCAAACAGGAUUAGAUACCCGGGUAGUCC
rnacentral:rRNA from 1 species